GUUGGUGCCCAGUGGUUGCAAGUUUCUCCAGUCUACAGUACUUAUAUUUCAUUCAUCUGUGUCUUUCAGUGCUUCCACUGACUGGCUUUGCACAGCAAGCGGUUGAAAGCUCCACCAAGAUCCUGGAUCACUCUCUGGACUGGCCAAAUAAGUCUGAGAACGACAGGAAACUGAGGACCCUGAGCUGCACUUGGCAGCUCCAAAACAAUGGCAGAGUCCACUCCGGAUGCCAACCCCGCCAAGGGCAUCCAGAAUCCAAGGGCUGACAUUAAGGACUCGACUGAAGUUUCAGCUGAGUCCGCACCGGUGGCAGCGGUCAAAGUCAGACCUGCAGACCUGGGGCUGAUCCGAACCUUGUCCAAGUCAGACUCUGACUUGUUGGCGUCACCACUCGGGGAGGAGGACGGGGGUCUGGCUGGCCGCAGUGGAUCCGUGUCUAACUGCAGCUCUGGGCAGGCGUCCAUGGAGCGCAUGCCUUCCUUUGCCUCUGAGUGGGAUGAGAUUGAGAAGAUCAUGAAUUUGAUUGGAGCAGGCAUUGAAACGUCCAAAAAGAAACAGCCCACACCGAGCUCAGAUGGGGCCUGUGGUAAAGCCCUGGACCAGCCGGUGGGAGAGUGGCUGGAGCACGUGGGGCUGCCGCAGUACGAGAGCAAGUUCCUGCUCAACGGCUUCGACGACCUACGAUUCAUGGGAAGUAACGUGAUGGAGGACCAGGAUCUCAGAGACAUUGGGAUCACUGACCCAGGACACAGAAAGAAAAUCCUCCAUGCGGCGCGUAGCUUGCCCAAGGUAAAAGCACUGGGCUGUGAUGGCAGCACAUCUCUUGCCUCCUGGCUGGAUGGCCUAGGCCUCCAUGAAUAUCUGCCCAACUUUCUUUCAAGUGGCUACCGCACACUGGAGUGUGUUAAGAACCUGUGGGAGCUGGAGAUUGUCAAUGUUAUUAAGAUUAGUGCACUGGGCCACAGGAAGAGGAUCAUUGCCUCUCUAGCAGAGAGACCCUAUGAAGAGGCUCCGACGAAGUCCCGUCGUCUGUCCCCAAUCAUGUUCCAUGACCUCCUGUCCCAGACCACGUCUCCCCUCAGUCAGUUGGACCCCUACACCAGUCGCUCCAUGGACAUGCUCCUGCCCUUGACCGAGUCGGACCGGAGGCGGAGAGGAGUUGAACAAGACUGUAGUAUUUCUCUGCGCUCAUAUAGUGAGAGGCCGCGUUCUGUAGACAGACAGAGCGAACGGCACAAAGACUCUCGUUUAAACCUCCGGCCGCCGAGCCACUCUGCUACCUACGCCACAGUGUCCGCCUGGCAUCACCAGCCUGAGAAACUCAUCCUGGACUCCUGCGGGUACGAGGCAACUUACCUAGGAUCAAUGAUAAUCAGGGAUCUACGAGGGAUUGAGUCCACACAAGAUGCCUGUGCUAAAAUUAGGAAAUCAAAGGAUUCAAGAAAGGGUCCAGUUGUCAUACUGUCCAUUACCUAUAGAGGGGUGAAGUUCAUCGAUGCAGCCACGAAGACUAUAGUUGCGGAGCAUGAGAUCAGGAACAUCUCAUGCGCCGCUCAGGACCCAGAUGACCUCUGCACUUUUGCUUACAUCACCAAGGAUCUGAAGAGUGGCCACCACUUCUGCCAUGUCUUCAGCACUGUGGAAGUGACGCAGACCUACGAGAUCAUCCUGACACUGGGACAGGCAUUUGAGGUGGCCUAUCAGAUGGCAAUCCAGUCCAGGGCGAGACAAUAUGUCCCCCCUUCAUCUCUGGGCUCAGAGGUCAUAGAGACCAAAACCAGCCGUCCUGUUUCUCAGUCGUGGAGCAGCAUGCGGAGAUCAGCAAUCGACCCCCUGGAGAUGGACGCAGACAUGCAGUCCCUGGGCAGCACCACCUGGCUCUUGGACCAGCGGGACUCCAACAGGCGCCCCGUCAGCACCAAGUACGAGACCACCAUAUUCUGAGGCCGGAUCCCCACAGCCGCCCCUCUGCACCCCCUCGUACUUUCCUCUUCCCCCCUGCAUCCGGUUCUUAAUUUCUCUCUCUCUCUCAAACACACACACACACAUAAACAUACAUGCGAGCCCCGUGCCUUCUCACUGUGAUGGUAUAGCAUCCCUCAGGGCUGCCUACUCCUGCACCCUCCUUUGCCCUGCCCAGCGACCCACACCAACCUCUUUACCCACCAUGACAAACACUCCUGCGGCUCCCCCGUGCCUCCCCAACACCCCUGGCAGCCUCCCUCGCCUGUUGCUGCUGCAGCCAAUGGCGGAGCCCUGGAACGGAUGAUCCUGGACUGAUGUCAUUUCACAGUGGCCCUGCUCUCUCAACCAAACUGCCUCUUCCUCCUCAUCCUCCUCUUCCUGACAACUUGCAUCUGCCUCCAAAUCCCCGAUAGCUCCCAGAGCUUGUCCUGUCUUACCAGGCAUCUACCACUGUGAGGCACUAUGAGGAGGCUGCUUUGCUAGCAUGGGAUGCAAGACGGACAAUUAAUCAAUGAAAGACAAAACAGCAACAUGCAGCAAACAACCUGUUUUUUUUUUUUCUACGCAUUUGUACAAAACUCAUAAUAACACGAUGGAUCGGUCAUGAAUCUGUCACUGAUGUCUGAACUCAAAUGGACCAAGAACUGAGCCCUCGCACACACACACAGGAGGACAACUUUCCUCCGCUUGACCGAGGACAACAGCCUUACUUCAUUUCGGUUAUCUAUAAUCAACUAAAGCCCCUCCCACACCCCCCGACCUUUCUGAAUACUUCCGCCACCACCCAACAACUGCACGCCUCCCCCCUGCUUCUAAAAGACUUAAAAAAAAAAAAAAAAAAGACAACACCUCUGAUUUCCUGGUGUGUGA